rnacentral:tRNA from 2 species
GGGUCAGUAGUUCAGUUGGUUAGAAUGUCGCUCUGAUACAGCGAAGGUCGAAGAUUCGAGUUCUUCCUGACCCACCA